CAUUGUGAAGCUUUUAGCGUUAACCUUUUAAGUUAAAGAUAGGGAAUAACCUUCUCCACAUUGA
rnacentral:tRNA from 1 species